UUGCUGACGAGUGGCGGACGGGUGAGUAAUGCUUGGGAAUCUGGCUUAUGGAGGGGGAUAACUGUGGGAAACUGCAGCUAAUACCGCGUAUUCUCUGAGGAGGAAAGGGUGGGACCUUAGGGCCACCUGCCAUAAGAUGAGCCCAAGUGGGAUUAGGUAGUUGGUGGGGUAAAGGCCUACCAAGCCUGCGAUCUCUAGCUGGUCUGAGAGGAUGACCAGCCACACUGGAACUGAGACACGGUCCAGACUCCUACGGGAGGCAGCAGUGGGGAAUAUUGCGCAAUGGGGGGAACCCUGACGCAGCCAUGCCGCGUGAAUGAAGAAGGCCUUCGGGUUGUAAAGUUCUUUCGGUAAUGAGGAAGGGAUGUUGUUAAAUAGAUAGCAUCAUUGACGUUAAUUACAGAAGAAGCACCGGCUAACUCCGUGCCAGCAGCCGCGGUAAUACGGAGGGUGCGAGCGUUAAUCGGAAUAACUGGGCGUAAAGGGCACGCAGGCGGACUUUUAAGUGAGAUGUGAAAUCCCCGAGCUUAACUUGGGAACUGCAUUUCAGACUGGGAGUCUAGAGUACUUUAGGGAGGGGUAGAAUUCCACGUGUAGCGGUGAAAUGCGUAGAGAUGUGGAGGAAUACCGAAGGCGAAGGCAGCCCCUUGGGAAUGUACUGACGCUCAUGUGCG
rnacentral:rRNA from 1 species